UCUUGUUAGUCUAAAAGGGUGUUUGGCUAACCCUAGAAGUACUUUUCCGCAAAUCGAAGCAAAUUCCUUCACAUAUUUACUUUGUAUACCGUAAAAGUACUUCUGAAACUAUAAU